rnacentral:misc_RNA from 1 species
CAAGAUAGCCCGAUUUGGCCCCCGUUAGAAAGUACCGGCGUCAUCCCCCACCGGCGAUUCAGCAUUGUCCCGGCGCCAAUAUAGCGGAUUCUGGCCCCCGGACCUUCACAAAAAACGCCCCGGAGCGGCUUUUGCCGUCCGGAGUGUACCUUUCUUCCAAGCCCGGACGGCCAAAAAAUGGCCGCCCGAUGAACGGUUGCGUCAG